AACGAACGCUGGCGGCAUGCCUAACACAUGCAAGUCGAACGAGACCUUCGGGUCUAGUGGCGCACGGGUGCGUAACGCGUGGGAACCUGCCCUUAGGUUCGGAAUAACUCCCCGAAAGGGGUGCUAAUACCGGAUAAUGUCUUCGGACCAAAGAUUUAUCGCCUUUGGAUGGGCCCGCGUUGGAUUAGCUAGUUGGUAGGGUAAAAGCCUACCAAGGCGACGAUCCAUAGCUGGUCUGAGAGGAUGAUCAGCCACACUGGGACUGAGACACGGCCCAGACUCCUACGGGAAGCAGCAGUGGGGAAUAUUGGACAAUGGGCGAAAGCCUGAUGCAGCCAUGCCGCGUGAGUGAUGAAGGUCUUAGGGUUGUAAAGCUCUUUUACCCGGGAUGAUAAUGACAGUACCGGGAGAAUAAGCCCCGGCUAACUACGUG
rnacentral:rRNA from 1 species